rnacentral:rRNA from 1 species
AGUGAACGCUGGCGGUAGGCCUAACACAUGCAAGUCGAACGGCGGCACAGUAAGAGCUUGCUCUUACGGGUGGCGAGUGGCGGACGGGUGAGGAAUACAUCGGAAUCUACUUUUUCGUGGGGGAUAACGUAGGGAAACUUACGCUAAUACCGCAUACGACCUACGGGUGAAAGCAGGGGAUCUUCGGACCUUGCGCGAUUGAAUGAGCCGAUGUCGGAUUAGCUAGUUGGCGGGGUAAAGGCCCACCAAGGCGACGAUCCGUAGCUGGUCUGAGAGGAUGAUCGGCCACACUGGAACUGAGACACGGUCCAGACUCCUACGGGAGGCAGCAGUGGGGAAUAUUGGACAAUGGGCGCAAGCCUGAUCCAGCCAUACCGCGUGGGUGAAGAAGGCCUUCGGGUUGUAAAGCCCUUUUGUUGGGAAAGAAAAGCAGCAGGUUAAUACCCCGCUGUUCUGACGGUACCCAAAGAAUAAGCACCGGCUAACUUCGUG